UACGGAGGGUGCAAGCGUUAUCCGGAUUCACUGGGUUUAAAGGGUGCGUAGGUGGGAAUGUAAGUCAGUGGUGAAAUCUCCGUGCUUAACAUGGAGACGCCACCCGAUACUGCUGUGACUCGAGUCCGGUAGGGGAGCGUGGAAUUCCUGGUGUAGCGGUGAAAUGCGCAGAUAUCAGGAGGAACACCAGCGGCGAAGGCGGCGCUCUGGGCCGGAACUGACGCUGAGGAGCGAAAGCGUGGGUAGCAAACAGG
rnacentral:rRNA from 1 species